AUACGUAGGGGCCAAACGUUGUCCGGAUUUAUUGGGCGUAAAGGGCUCGUAGGCGGUUCAACAAGUCGAUCGUGAAAGCCCGGGGCUCAACCCCGGGACGCCGGUCGAAACUGUUGUGACUAGGGUCCGGUAGAGGUGAGUGGAAUUCUCGGUGUAGCGGUGGAAUGCGCAGAUAUCGAGAGGAACACCAGUUGCGAAGGCGGCUCACUGGGCCGGUACCGACGCUAAGGAGCGAAAGCGUGGGGAGCAAACAGGAUUAGAAACCCCGGUAGUCC
rnacentral:rRNA from 1 species